GAGUCAACGGAAACUUGGUAGCAAGAAAGCUGCAGAGGAGGCUGCCGGCAGUACAGGAUGCAGGGAGAACCCAGGCCUGGGGUUGAGGCCAGGAGACUCAAUUCCAGCUUUACUGUGUGCCUUUAGCAGGAAUGUCAUGGGUAGAAGCUGCUGGCGUGUCAUCUACAGCCUUGGAGGACAGGAUUGUGGCCAAGCAUGAGGAGGUUCCAGAAGUUUCAGUUCAGUAUGAAGAAAAAUUUCAGAACCAUCACAAACUGAUGAGGAAACUGAGGCAUGGAGAAGCCAAGCCACUCUUAAGGUCACUUAAUGGAUCUUCCAUGUAGUCAGGACUGAACCAGCAUCCAACCCAGAGCCCGGUGUGGUCGACCCACAAAUGUUUGCCAAGUUAGCCAUGCCCUUGUUGUCUACUGGUUGAUUUCAGAAUUACCCAAGCCUGCACCAGCCUCUUCCUUAUCAUUCACUUCUGUCACCUGGCUUGCUACAUGGAUGUGCUCAUGAAGGGCUGCUGAAUGACUGACCCACCAAGUACCUGUCACCUGAGGCCCAGCUUUGGCAGCUGUGCUGAGCCCCUUCUCAGAGGUCCUGCUUGGAACUAUGGAGCUAUAGCCACAGCCUUCGGGAAUGGAGAGUUCAGACAUCAUUCCUGGUCCCCAGGGAUGCUGAUACUGCGAGUCUGUGGAACACUCUUCGAGCAGCCCUGAGAUUAUCAGCCUUUAACCCCCGGGGGGAGGAAGCCGAAGGCCCAGAGAGGUCAAGUCACUUGUCCAUGGCCACACAGCGAACAGCCCCAGACCGAAAGCAGAGGGCACCUGCCACAGACACACGACAUCUCCCCACCCGAGGCAGCGGGAAUCAGCUGCCUUUCCCUGGCCCGGGUGCCGUGUUUGUAAACUCGGCUGCUUGGUGCGGCUCGGGCCGGGGUAAAGGGCGCCUCCCAGCAGAGCCUCCCUCGUCUCUGAGCUGGCCUCUCCAGGUUCUCCGUCCGGUAUCCCGGGCCGACCAGAGAGAGCCCGGGGCGCCGAGUCCUCUGCGGCGGAGCGAUUCCGCACUCCCCUCUCCUCUGAAAGCAAACUUCUCCGCCGGCGCCCUUUACCUUUUUCGGGGGUUUGCAGCUGCUCAGCCUGCUGUGUCUGCAGCCCAUCCUCCUCCGGGGGCUCCCGGACGCCGCUUCCCAACUCCGGGGCCCCCAGAGGAGCCUGCGAUCCGGGCCCCGCUGCCCGCUCCGCGCCCGCCGGCUGGGGCUGCCGGCGAGACCCUGAAACUGAACCUGGAAGCGCUGUCUUGAGCCUGAGCUGGGGCGGCCGCCCGCCGUAAAUACCCGAAGAGCGGGGCCUCAGUGUAGCCCGCAGGGCCAGCGGCGCCGCCACCAGAGGCAGGUGACCAGAAUCCUUCUAAAUAAUAGGAAGCUCUGGUCAGGGCAGAAGAAAAGAAAACCUCAAGGAGCAACAGAUGCUUUUCCGAACCCUCAGCUAAGAAAGGGCCGGGGGAAAAAAUAAUUAAAGCAAUUAUUUGAUAAACUAA
rnacentral:lncRNA from 1 species